CAUGUAUAUCUGGGUUGAUGGUA
rnacentral:piRNA from 1 species